rnacentral:rRNA from 1 species
UACGUAGGGUGCAAGCGUUGUCCGGAAUUAUUGGGCGUAAAGAGCUCGUAGGCGGUUUGUCGCGUCUGCUGUGAAAACUGGAGGCUCAACCUCCAGCUUGCAGUGGGUACGGGCAGACUAGAGUGCGGUAGGGGGAGAUUGGAAUUCCUGGUGUAGCGGUGGAAUGCGCAGAUAUCAGGAGGAACACCGAUGGCGAAGGCAGAUCUCUGGGCCGUAACUGACGCUGAGGAGCGAAAGCGUGGGGAGCGAACAGG